AGAUGUGAGGGUGAUCUGGCUGUGACAUCUGUCACCCCAUUGAUCACCAGGGUUGAUUUGGCUGAUCUGGCUGGCUAGGCGGGUGUCCCCUUCCUCCCUCACAAUGCUCCGUGUGAGUCCCUCCCAAGCUGAGCACUUUGUCCAAGAGGAUAACCUUCCCUGAGUAGAGGAGGACCGGUCUUCAGACUUUGGUCAAGAGUAUGCAAGUAGCUUCGCUCCCCUGCUAGAACCUUCAAAUAAGCUCUCAAAUAAAACUGCUGUUGAGUGUUAUAUGCAGGCUUCUGUGU
ensembl:misc_RNA 7SK 7SK RNA